GAGUUUGAUCAUGGCUCAGGAUGAACGCUAGCGGCAGGCUUAACACAUGCAAGUCGAGGGGUAGCAGGGAGCUUGCUCCGCUGACGACCGGCGAACGGGUGCGUAACGCGUAUAGAAUCUACCUCUUACUAAGGGAUAGCCCAGAGAAAUUUGGAUUAAUAUCUUAUAGUAUACAGACCUGGCAUCAGGAUUGUAUUAAAGGUUACGGUAAGAGAUGACUAUGCGUCCUAUUAGCUAGAUGGUGUGGUAACGGCACACCAUGGCUACGAUAGGUAGGGGCCCUGAGAGGGGGAUCCCCCACACUGGUACUGAGACACGGACCAGACUCCUACGGGAGGCAGCAGUGAGGAAUAUUGGACAAUGGAGGCAACUCUGAUCCAGCCAUGCCGCGUGCAGGAAGACUGCCCUAUGGGUUGUAAACUGCUUUUAUACAGGAAGAAACACUCUCACGUGUGAGAGCUUGACGGUACUGUAAGAAUAAGGAUCGGCUAACUCCGUGCCAGCAGCCGCGGUAAUACGGAGGAUCCAAGCGUUAUCCGGAAUCAUUGGGUUUAAAGGGUCCGUAGGUGGAUGAUUAAGUCAGAGGUGAAAUCCUGCAGCUCAACUGUAGAAUUGCCUUUGAUACUGGUUGUCUUGAGUUAUUAUGAAGUAGUUAGAAUAUGUAGUGUAGCGGUGAAAUGCAUAGAUAUUACAUAGAAUACCAAUUGCGAAGGCAGAUUACUAAUAAUAUACUGACACUGAUGGACGAAAGCGUGGGGAGCGAACAGGAUUAGAUACCCUGGUAGUCCACGCCGUAAACGAUGGUCACUAGCUGUUCGGACUUCGGUUUGAGUGGCUAAGCGAAAGUGAUAAGUGACCACCCUGGGGAGUACGUUCGCAGAUGAAACUCAAAGGAAUUGACGGGGCCCGCACAGCGUGAGCAUGGUGGUUUAAUCGAUGAUACGCGAGACUACAGGCUUAAUGUAGAUGACAGGUUAGAAUAGACUUUCUCGACAUUUACAGGUGCUGCAUGCUGUCGUCAGCUCGUGCGUGAGGUGUCAGGUAGUCCUAUACGAGGCAACCCCUGUUGUAGUGCAGCGAGUCAUGUCGACCUACGAACUGCAGCAACUUGAGAAAAGAAAGUCGCGAUAGACUCUCUCAAAUACUAUUUACG
rnacentral:rRNA from 1 species